AGCAGGAUCUACAACAGUGACUGACUAAAGGAGGUCUAAUAUCUUUAAAAGCAGCCCGUAAACAUUGACCAGCAGAUGUCAGCAGUGAUCAAGGUUCUGAACCAGCCAAACAUGGACCCAGCGGAGAUGAACCUGGUGGAGAAGAUUUCCUUUUUUGAGAGCUUUUCCCUUGGGGCCAGGGCGGGCAGAAAUCAGCCAGUUACGGCUCCCCGCACCAGGCCGGCUACGUUGCCGCCAGUGCCGGCUCCUCGCACCAAUCCACCUACGUCGCCGCCAGUGCCAGCUCCCCGCACAAGGCCCCCAACGUUGCCGCCAGUGCCGGCUACCCGCACGAGGCCGCCUACGUCGCCGCCAGUGCCGGCUCCCCGCACCCGAUUUGCAUCUCUGCCGCCAGUUCCGGUUCCAAGAACCAGGCCGUCAACUCUGCCGCCAAUUCCAGCUCCCCGCACCAUGCCAUCUACGUCGCCGCCAGUGCCGGCUGCCCGCACCAGGCCGGCUACGUUGCCGCCAGUACCGGCUCCUCGCACCAUGCCAUCUACGUCGCCGCCAGUGCCAGCUCCCUGCACAAGGCCCCCAACGUUGCCGCCAGUGCCGGCUACCCGCACCAGGCCGCCUACGUCGCCGCCAGUGCCGGCUCCCCGCACCCGGCCCGCAUCUCUGCCGCCAGUUCCGGCUCCAAGAACCAGGCUGUCAACUCUGCCGCCAAUUCCAGCUCCCAACACUAGGCCGCCUACGUCGCCACCAGUGCCGGCUCCCCGCACCUGGUCGCCUAUGUUGCUGCCAGUGCCGGCUCCCCGCACCCAGCCACCAUCUCUGCCACCAGUUCCGGCUCCACGAACCAGGCCGCCAAUUCCGGCUCCCCGCACAAGGCCGCUUACGUUGACGCCAGUUUCGGCUCCCCGCACCAGGCCGCCUCUGUCUGGCCCGCCGGAGCCCUCUGCCUGCCACCCGGCAGACUCCUAGAUCAUCCCUCCCCAGUCUGGUUUUUUAGGGAACACUCUCAUCAGCUGAGUGUUUGGACACAGUGUGACUGAUGUUACGCUCCCCGUGUGCUGCUGUGUGUCUUGUUUCCUGCUCCCUGGUUUCUUGGUUCUGCCCUUUUUGGAUUUUGGUUUUUGUUUCAUUUCUACAAUAAACAUGGACUGGUUUUAUAAACA
rnacentral:lncRNA from 1 species